rnacentral:tRNA from 1 species
AGGGAUAUGGCUCAGUGGUAGCGUGCAUGCUUAGCAUGCGUGAGGUCCUGGUACAAUCUCCAGUAUCUCCA